AAGGAAGACUACGCACUGGGUAUCAUCUCCCUCUUCCCCUAUUUGGCUGACCCAAGGAGCAAGCUUGGCUAUGAACAUUAUUACAACGCAGAAGAUGGAAGUGGCUAUUUGGCUUGGAGAAUUAAAACUCUGCAGAAAGAAGCAUCAGAGGGACGAGUUAAACGUCCACGACCUUCACAAGCAGGUGGGCCAUCUGUUGAUAGAGAUCCUUGCAAGGAAGGCAAUUGGUUGAGCGAUGAACGCCAGUGUCAGGAAGCAAUUGCUCUGAUGAAGCACACAGCUGAUGAAUCGGUGGUGAAGGAAAAGAUGAGGUUGACCCUAGUCUAUCGCCAGAAGAUUCUGCGUGACACUGACAAAUCAACUGAUAUCCUAUCCAUUUUUCCAAGAUUCAUGGACAUACCAGGCCUGAUUGAGCAGGAUUUUGCACUUCUCUUUGGUGACUCAACCUCUGCAAAGCUG